CAUGGCUAAAAAAUAGUACAUAGGGUAAAAUGCAGUUUUUGGCUCAUAUCUCUGAAACCAAAGCAUUUAGAGCGAACCUGAUGAGGAUAAAAUUGUUCAUUAGGUCAAGAUCUAUCUGCCCUGAAAUUUUCAGACCAAUCAGGCAACCCGUUGUUGGGUUGCUGCCCCUGAAUUGGUAAUUUUAAGGAAAUUUUGCCGUUUUUAGCUCACCUGACCUGAAAGGUCAAGUGAGCUUUUCUCAUCACUUGGCGUCUGUCGUCCGUCGUCCGUAAACUUUUACAAAAAUCUUCUCCUCUGAAACUACUGGGCCAAAUUUGACCAAACUUGGCCACAAUCAUCAUUGGGGUAUCUAGUUUAAAAAAUGUGUCCGGUGACCCGGCCAACCAACCAAGAUGGCCGCCAUGGCUAAAAAUAGAACAUAGGGGUAAAAUGUAGAUUUUGGCUUAUAUCUCUGAAACCAAAGCAUUUAGAGCAAAUCUGACAUGGGUUAAAUUGUUUAUCAGGUCAAGAUCUAUCUGCCCUGAAAUUUUCAGAUGAAUCAGACAACCCGUUGUUGGGUUGCUGCCACUGAAUUGGUAAUUUUAAGGAAAUUUUGCCGUUUUUGGUUAUUAUCUUGAAUAUUAUCAUAGAUAGAGAUAAACUGGAAACAGCAAUAAUGUUCAGCAAAGUAAGAUCUACAAAUAAGUCAACUUGACCAAAAUGGUCAUUUGACCCCUUAAGGAGUUAUUGCCCUUUAUAGUCAAUUUUUAACCAUUUUUCGUAAAUUUUUGUAAUCUUUUACAAAAAUCUUCUCCUCUGAAACUACUAAGACAAAUUUAACCAAACUUGUCCACAAUCAUCAUUAGGGUAUUUUGUUUAAAAAAUGUGUCAGAUGACCCCGCCCGCGAACCAAGAUGGCCGCCAUGGCUAAAAAAUAGUACAUAGGGUAAAAUGCAGUUUUUGGCUCAUAUCUCUGAAACCAAAGCAUUAAGAGCAAAUCUGAUGAGGAUAAAAUUGUUCAUUAGGUCAAGAUCUAUCUGCCCUGAAAUUUUCAGACCAAUCAGGCAACCCGUUGUUGGGUUGCUGCCCCUGAAUUGGUAAUUUUAAGGAAAUUUUGCCGUUUUUGGUUAUUAUCUUGAAUAUUAUUAUAGAUAGAGAUAAACUGUAAACAGCAAUAAUGUUCAGCAAAGUAAGAUCUACAAAAAAGUCACCUUGACCAAAAUGGUCAGUUGACCCCUUAAGGAGUUAUUGCCCUUUACAGUCAAUUUUUAACCAUUUUUCGUAAAUUUUUGUAAUCUUUUACAAAAAUCUUCUCCUCUGAAACUACUAAGACAAAUUUAACCAAACUUGUCCACAAUCAUCAUUAGGGUAUCUAGUUUAAAAAAUGUGUCCGAUGACCCCGCCCGCGAACCAAGAUGGCCGCCAUGGCUAAAAAAUAGUACAUAGGGUAAAAUGCAGUUUUUGGCUCAUAUCUCUGAAACCAAAGCAUUAAGAGCAAAUCUGAUGAGGAUAAAAUUGUUCAUUAGGUCAAGAUCUAUCUGCCCUGAAAUUUUCAGACCAAUCAGGCAACCCGUUGUUGGGUUGCUGCCCCUGAAUUGGUAAUUUUAAGGAAAUUUUGCCGUUUUUGGUUAUUAUCUUGAAUAUUAUUAUAGAUAGAGAUAAACUGUAAACAGCAAUAAUGUUCAGCAAAGUAAGAUCUACAAAAAAGUCACCUUGACCAAAAUGGUCAGUUGACCCCUUAAGGAGUUAUUGCCCUUUACAGUCAAUUUUUAACCAUUUUUCGUAAAUUUUUGUAAUCUUUUACAAAAAUCUUCUCCUCUGAAACUACUAAGACAAAUUUAACCAAACUUGUCCACAAUCAUCAUUAGGGUAUCUAGUUUAAAAAAUGUGUCCGAUGACCCCGCCCGCGAACCAAGAUGGCCGCCAUGGCUAAAAAAUAGUACAUAGGGUAAAAUGCAGUUUUUGGCUCAUAUCUCUGAAACCAAAGCAUUAAGAGCAAAUCUGAUGAGGAUAAAAUUGUUCAUUAGGUCAAGAUCUAUCUGCCCUGAAAUUUUCAGACCAAUCAGGCAACCCGUUGUUGGGUUGCUGCCCCUGAAUUGGUAAUUUUAAGGAAAUUUUGCCGUUUUUGGUUAUUAUCUUGAAUAUUAUUAUAGAUACAGAUAAACUGUAAACAGCAAUAAUGUUCAGCAAAGUAAGAUCUACAAAAAAGUCACCUUGACCAAA